rnacentral:rRNA from 1 species
AUUGAACGCUGGCGGCAGGCCUAACACAUGCAAGUCGAACGGUAACAGGAAGCAGCUUGCUGCUUUGCUGACGAGUGGCGGACGGGUGAGUAAUGUCUGGGAAACUGCCCGAUGGAGGGGGAUAACUACUGGAAACGGUAGCUAAUACCGCAUAACGUCGCAAGACCAGAGAGGGGGACCUUAGGGCCUCUUGCCAUCGGAUGUGCCCAGAUGGGAUUAGCUAGUAGGUGGGGUAACGGCUCACCUAGGCGACGAUCCCUAGCUGGUCUGAGAGGAUGACCAGCCACACUGGAACUGAGACACGGUCCAGACUCCUACAGGAGGCAGCAGUGGGGAAUAUUGCACAAUGGGCGCAAGCCUGAUGCAGCCAUGCCGCGUGUAUGAAGAAGGCCUUCGGGUUGUAAAGUACUUUCAGCGGGGAGGAAGGGAGUAAAGUUAAUACCUUUGCUCAUUGACGUUACCCGCAGAAGAAGCACCGGCUAACUCCGUG